rnacentral:rRNA from 1 species
UACAGAGGUCCCAAGCGUUGUUCGGAUUCACUGGGCGUAAAGGGUGCGUAGGCGGUCGGGUAAGUCUGACGUGAAAUCUCCAAGCCUAACUGUGAAACUGCAUUGGAUACUAUCCGGCUAGAGGAAUGGAGGGGAGACUGGAAUACUUGGUGUAGCAGUGAAAUGCGUAGAUAUCAAGUGGAACACCAGUGGCGAAGGCGAGUCUCUGGACAUUUCCUGACGCUGAGGCACGAAAGCCAGGGGAGCGAACGGG